AAGAAACUAACAAGGAUUCCCCUAGUAACUGCGAGUGAAGCGGGAAAAGCUCAAAUUUAAAAUCUGGUGGUCUUUGGCCAUCCGAGUUGUAAUUUAGAGAAGCGUCUUCCGCGCUGGACCGUGCACAAGUCUCCUGGAAUGGAGCGUCAUAGAGGGUGAGAAUCCCGUCUUUGGCACGGACGCACCAGGGCUUUUGUGAUGCGCUCUCGAAGAGUCGAGUUGUUUGGGAAUGCAGCUCAAAAUGGGUGGUGAACUCCAUCUAAAGCUAAAUAUUGGCGAGAGACCGAUAGCGAACAAGUACCGUGAGGGAAAGAUGAAAAGCACUUUGGAAAGAGAGUGAAACAGUACGUGAAAUUGUUGAAAGGGAAACGCUUGAAGUCAGUCGCGUCGACCGAGACUCAGCCUCGCCUCGGCUUGGUGUACUUCUCGGGCGACGGGUCAGCAUCAAUUUUGCCCCUUGGAUAAUGGCGAGGGAAAUGUGACACCUUUAUGGUGUGUUAUAGUCUCUCGUCGCAUGCGAGGGUCGGGAUUGAGGAACUCAGCACGCGCCUUUGGGCGUCGGGGUUUUUGCCCACGAUACGUGCUUAGGAUGUUGGCGUAAUGGCUUUAAACGACCCGUCUUGAAACACGGACCAAGGAGUCUAACAUGCCCGCGAGUGUUCGGGUGGAAAACCCGUGCGCGCAAUGAAAGUGAAAGUUGGGACCUCCGUCGUGGAGGGCACCGACGCCCGGACCAGACCUUCUGUGACGGCUCUGCGGUAGAGCGUGUAUGUUAGGACCCGAAAGAUGGUGAACUAUGCCUGAAUAGGGUGAAGCCAGAGGAAACUCUGGUGGAGGCUCGUAGCGAUUCUGACGUGCAAAUCGAUCGUCAAAUUUGGGUAUAGGGGCGAAAGACUAAUCGAAC
rnacentral:rRNA from 1 species